GAGAGAGGGAGAGAGAGAGGCAGAGACACAGGCAGAGGGAGAAGCAGGCUCCAUGCACCGGGAGCCCGACGUGGGAUUCGAUCCUGGGUCUCCAGGAUCGCGCCCUGGGCCAAAGGCAGGCGCCAAACCGCUGCGCCACCCAGGGAUCCCUACCCCAGUCUUAAUCAGUGGUGGAGGAACGGUCUCAGAACUGUCUGUGUCAAUUGGCCAUUUAAGUUUAAUAGUAAAAGACUGGUUAAUGAGAACAAUGCAUCAUAAAAUCUUCAGAAGGUCUGGUUGUGGAAAUCAGGGUCAUGGUGAGAGUAGAGUCAAGGAGAUGUGUCCUGAGAACCAAACCUGCCUAUGGCACAGCCCAGCAUAAAGCCCCUGGUCUGUGCAAAUAUGGGGUCCAGAACCAUAAAUUCCAACGGAAAAUGCUUCACUAAGCCACCCUAAUAACAUCAGAAGCUAUGGAGAGAGAAUUACACGGUCGAAGGUGCCCAAUAUAAUAUUAUUCAGCAACAGGUGAGAUACAGCUCUUCAAUCUCUGUUCCUCUUGAGUUGAAUCUUAUGCUCCAAUAAAACUGAAUGACACUUGGUUCCUUGAAAAUAC
rnacentral:lncRNA from 1 species